GAUGAACGCUAGCGGGAGGCCUAACACAUGCAAGCUGAGCGGUAGAGAUCUUUCGGGAUCUUGAGAGCGGCGUACGGGUGCGGAACACGUGUGCAACCUGCCUUUAUCAGAGGGAUAGCCUUUCGAAAGGAAGAUUAAUACCUCAUAAUAUAAUGAAUGGCAUCAUUUAUUAUUGAAAACUCCGGUGGAUAGAGAUGGGCACGCGCAAGAUUAGAUAGUUGGUGAGGUAACGGCUCACCAAGUCGAUGAUCUUUAGGGGGCCUGAGAGGGUGAUCCCCCACACUGGUACUGAGACACGGACCAGACUCCUACGGGAGGCAGCAGUGAGGAAUAUUGGACAAUGGGUUAGCGCCUGAUCCAGCCAUCCCGCGUGAAGGACGACGGCCCUAUGGGUUGUAAACUUCUUUUGUACAGGGAUAAACCUACCCUCGUGAGGGUAGCUGAAGGUACUGUACGAAUAAGCACCGGCUAACUCCGUGCCAGCCGCCGCCGUAACAC
rnacentral:rRNA from 1 species